AGGAGGGAAGGAAGAGAGUGGAGAGAUUGGAGGGAAGGAGGAAGGAAGAAAGGAAGUGAGGAAGAAUUUUUUAGAAGCGACUAGAGAUAUAAGCCUGAAACUAUAGAGUGUAUUCUGAGAGUAGUAGUUGGUCUGUUAUUAAAGUAUAACAAAAAUGGUAUGUGUGAAACAGUUCAUUAAAUAUAUACGGGCCUUACAGUAUUUUUUCUAGGGUAUUUUGUUAGUAUCCUACUCAUCAAUGAGGUAAUGAGAGAGCUGUCACCUCUUUUGAUACUUUAUGAUGAAGCAGGAUACUGUCCCUUACCUUUGAAGACCAUGGAUUUACAUGUAGUGAGACUCAAUUCUAAACAAGAAGGAUAGUUUCUACAAAUUAAAAUGAGUUUUAAACUUAGAAUCCACAUUUUUAUUAUUUAUUGUUUCAAAGCAUAUGGGGAUUUUCUGAAGUUUGUUCUCAAAGGGUUACUCGGCUCCCAGUCCAGAUCCACAAAUUGCAAGUGAUUUCAAGGCCCCUGAUUGAGACAUGAAAAUUAUGUAGCAAGUAGUGACAAGCCAAGUCCACUGGGACACACACAUUUCCACUCAAUCAAGGCGCUUCACUAAAACGUGUGUGAUUUCCACACUAGUCAGUUUCUUAAAACUCGCUUUAUUAAAAUGGCCAGCAGACAGAUAAGCUUAGCUUUAGGAUUUCUUGCAUUUUUGUGGGCUGUAUUGGGUGCUCAAAACAAAACAGAGGAAGUACAAUGCAGAUUGAUGGCCAAGUUUAAUUUGUCUGGAUAUGUAGAUGCCAAAAAUCAUUCACUUGUUAUUGCAGGACUGUUUCCUAUCCACUCCAGAAUCAUCCCAGUAGAUGAAGCUAUUUUGGAGCCGGUAUCACCCAUGUGUGAAGGGUUUAAUUUCCGGGGUUUCCGAUGGAUGAAAACCAUGAUCCACACCAUUAAGGAGAUUAAUGAGAGGAAGGACAUUUUGCCCAACCAUACUCUGGGCUACCAGAUCUUUGAUUCCUGCUAUACCAUCUCCAAAGCAAUGGAGUCAUCUUUGGUGUUUCUUACUGGGCAGGAAGAAUUCAAACCCAAUUUUAGAAAUAGCACUGGAUCAACUCUAGCAGCACUGGUUGGAUCAGGGGGAUCAUCUUUGUCAGUUGCUGCUUCACGAAUUCUAGGGUUGUAUUAUAUGCCUCAGGUGGGCUAUACUUCUUCCUGCUCAAUUCUUAGUGACAAAUUCCAGUUUCCAUCUUAUCUUCGUGUACUACCCAGUGAUAACCUCCAGUCUGAGGCCAUAGUGAAUCUCAUCAAACACUUCGGUUGGGUCUGGGUAGGUGCUAUUGCAGCUGAUGAUGAUUAUGGGAAAUAUGGAGUAAAAACUUUUAAGGAAAAAAUGGAGAGUGCCAACCUCUGUGUUGCUUUCUCUGAAACCAUUCCCAAAGUCUACUCCAAUGAGAAAAUGCAGAAGGCUGUUAAGGCAGUAAAGACUUCCACUGCCAAAGUCAUUGUGCUUUAUACUUCUGACAUUGACCUCAGCCUGUUUGUGCUGGAAAUGAUUCAUCAUAACAUAACUGACAGGACAUGGAUAGCCACCGAAGCCUGGAUUACCUCUGCUCUCAUUGCAAAGCCUGAGUAUUUCCCCUAUUUUGGUGGAACUAUUGGAUUUGCAACACCAAGAAGUGUUAUACCAGGACUAAAAGAAUUUCUUUAUGAUGUACACCCUAACAAGGAUCCAAAUGAUGUCUUGACCAUUGAAUUCUGGCAAACUGCUUUUAACUGUACCUGGCCCAACAGCAGUGUUCCUUAUAACGUGGAUCACAGAGUGAAUAUGACUGGGAAAGAAGACAGACUGUAUGACAUGUCUGAUCAGCUCUGCACUGGAGAGGAGAAGCUGGAAGAUCUGAAAAACACCUAUCUGGAUACAUCACAGCUAAGAAUUACAAACAAUGUCAAACAAGCUGUAUAUGCUAUAGCUCAUGGCCUGGAUCAUCUCAGCAGAUGUCAAGAAGGGCAGGGACCAUUUGGUUCAAAUCAGCAAUGUGCAUAUAUACCUACCUUUGAUUUCUGGCAGGAACCCAGUAACCCAUGGCCACUGGCGGCUACAAGUGGUGCUCAAUAAGUGGUCUGAAAAUGGAAAGAAGUACUGAGGCUACAUUGUCUUGGAGCUCUGCAGAAAACAGGAGAAGAUGUAUCCUGCAUGGCAUGCAUCCCAUAAAGAAUACAUCUACUGUAUUUGAAAACAGCACUUCUAUGGGAGAAAAGUAUAUGUGAUUGGAUCACAUAUUUAUUUUAUUCUUUUGAGUUUCCUCUUGCUUCAGCACAGAUAAUUAAAUGGUGUGCUGUAGCCAGUGUUGAAAUGUUGAAAAAUCAAGCUUUAAUUUGUAUACUGAUAGCCAAUAUAUAGAUAUAUCUACAUCUCUAUAAAUCUCCAUAUAUCUCCACAUAUCGCUAACCCCCCUCUAGCUCAGGGCUUAUAAUUGCUUGAAAUUGUUCCUUUUUUAGAUACUGCUAAUUCUCAAAUUUGCAAUUGUUUAUGCAUAUACAACUCAAGUUAAGGGAAAAUGCUGUUCCUUUAAAGGACUGUCUUCAGACAUUUAAGAACUCAUCCUAGGUUGCCUGGACAAGACUCCUUAAGACAAUGCCACGCCAGAUUUAUAUCCCAGGCAGAUUAUAGGCCUUACACAAGAACAACUGGCCAUAUAAUCUCAUUCUUUACAUAAAAAAAUGUAAUGGUUUGAGAUAAAAAUUUGGUAUUUUUAGAGAAUAUGCAUGUCAAAUUGUAAAGACUUGUUCUCAAUAUCCUCAGUUUCUACCUGUUCCACAUAACGGCAUUAAUUCUCAAGGACUUAAUCAGUUAUUACAAAUGGAUACUAAUAUUUAUGAUUUUAGAAAAAAAAUAUGCACAUGUGAUUAUUGAUACCUUUUCAGGCUUUCUAGUUGUAACUGCUCUAACAAGAGAAGCAACUAAAAGUGUAAUUAGUCAUUGUCUAUGUUAAUUUAUUUUUAGGCUUGGAGUUCCAAAUAAGAUUAAAACAGGUAAUGGAACUGGCUAUUAUAGUGAGGCAUUUGAGAUAUUUUGUGAACAAUUUAAUGUUACCUAUGUUACUGGUUUUUUUAAAUAAUUCUCAACGCUAAGGUAUUGUGGAACUUUAAAACAAUAUUUUCUUUAAAAAAAGGGGGGGGGUGGGAAUUGUAUUGCAUUAUUUAAAUCAUGAAUUGUAUUUUUCAAAUUUUCAAAUUUGGAUGCUAAGGAACUCCUUGCUGAGUGCCUAUAGCGUUAUACAAAUAGGCAUACUCAUGCCUAGGUGAGAUGAAAGGAUUCACUUAUUGGCAUAUGGCAUGAUCCUGAUCAGGUAUUUAAUAUGGGGAAGAUGGCAUGUUUGUGAUUUUUCCCACAGAAUGCUGCAGGAGCUUGCUAACUGCCAGAGUGAUUGGUGUAAUAUACUGACACAAAAGGAUAAUGCUGACCUGUGAGCUUGCUGAGUGCCCUGACAAUGUGUCAGGAAAGCUGUGUUGACUCACCUUUGUUUGCCUAUGUCUCAGAUUAGACAAACUAAGGUGCCUUGCUUCAAGCUUUUAUACCUUGUGGGAGAGAGAACAUAGACUGUGGAAACUGAUUUAGAAAAAUUAAUCAAGAGGAGGAUUUUUAAUGACUCUUCUCUUUCCUUAAAUAUGAUCAGUUAUUCUGACACAAUCAUGGACUGGCCUAGAAAUAAAUCCAAUAUUGGAGAUUCCAAAUAUGAUGAUGACUUAAAAUCUUUAUUAGCCAGCAGAGUUAACUUGGAACAGCCUCCAAUAUUUAGAUGGGAAGUAACAGUUUUUCUGUUGAUUUUUCAAAGCCACCUACCAAAUGUUGGGAGGCCAGACAUGGUUCUGACCAUUGCUAAUUUGCAACUGAAUUGAGUGCCUGGAAUAUUCCCACAGACAACUUUAAUCUUGUUGCUUUCAACUCCUGACUUUGUAUUUCAAGCAGAUCAGUUACCUCCAUGCAGGCUCACCUUCAGUAAAGCUCAGAUGACAGUUAAUCAUCACUAUGAAGAGAUUCAUUGAGUGCAUAUUGUAGCUUUGGUCUGAAUGGGGUAAAGGUGUGCAAUGAGGGGCAAUAGACAAAGACAGACCACUGGUCUAUAGCUCUUUUUUCAGUCUAAGACAGAGGCAUGUGCCAAGAGACUGCAUUUGUUAAUAAUAAAUGCUAAAAGGGCAUAUUUGUUCAAAUAAAUACAAACAAGCUGUAUGUGUUCUCCAGGAUGCAUCAGAAAAGAGUCCAAUAGAUGUAGUUCGAAGACAGGUGCAGCCUCCAGCCACCAUAAUUGCCAGGCAGGACCAUGGAGCAUAAGUAAAUUUUAUGCCCCAGUCCAGCUAAUUUUUAAUAAAUAAAUAAAAAGGGUAGAACUGUACCCUCCCCCCAGCUUUGAGCAGGCUAACUCAGACCUGUUUUGCCGCAGUUGCUAGCCCACCUGGGGUGGAGUCUUCUGACCUAGGUAAAGCCUUUUGUCUGCCACAUCUUCAGUUUCCUUUGAGAAGCUACCUGCUGAGCAGCUGAACUUUAUUUCCAGAUCCUGACAAAGUGACCAGGAGAUCCUGGCAUGGUGGGGAUGGGUUCCUCCCCUUUAUAAGCUCAGACUCAUAAGUGAACAUUGGGCCUUGAUCAGCGAACUUUGUCUUGGAGCAUUAUAUCUCUCGCCACCUUUCCCAUUCAACCCCAUCUUUCCUUUCAGGAACCCAGUAACCCGUGGCCACUGGUGGCUACAGUGGAGCAUAGGUCCUUGUUAAAUCUUGGAGCAUAUUCUGGGUAUAUACCUAGGAGCUGUAUAGCCAUAAUAUGUUCAAUUUUCUAGAGAAUCACCAGACUGAUUUCCAGAAUGUUUGAACAAACUUUUAACCCCACCAGGAAUGGCGGAGUGUUUCUCUUUCUUCACAUCCUUGCCAGCAUUUACUGUCACCUCAGUUUUUGAUGUAAGCCAUUCAAACCGGUAUAAGGUGGACACUCAUGGUUGUUUUGAAUUGCUUUUCCCUGAAGACUAAAGAUGUUGAACAUUUCAUUAGGUGCUUCUGGGACAUUCAAGAUUUAUCAGUUGAGAAUAUUUUGUUUAGCUCUGUUCCCCGUUCUUUACUAGGGUUAUUUGUUACUCUGGAGUGUAACUUCUUGAGUCCUUUGUAUAUAUUGCAUAUUAGCCCUCUAUUGGAUGUAGGCUUGUCAAAGAUCUUUCCCCAAUCUUUUGGUUGCAAUCUUGCCCUAUGGACAGUGUCCUUUACCUUAUAGAAACGUUGAAAUUUUGUGAGGUCACAUUUUUCAAUACUUGAUGUUAGAGCAUAGGCUAUUGGUGUUCUGUCCAGAAGAUUUUUCCCCUGUCCAUGUAUUCAAGGCUUUUCAUCAGUUUCUCUUCUAUUAGAUUCAGUAUAUCUGGUUUUAUGUUGAGGUACUUGAUAAACUUAGACUUGAGCUUUGUACAAGGAAAUGAGACUGGAUCAAUUUGCAUUCUUCUACAUGCUAAUCUCAUACUAGUCAGAAUAGCUAAGAUCAAAAAAUCAGGUGACAGCAGAUGCUGGUGAGGAUGUGAAGAAAGAGGAACACUCCUCCAUUGCUGGUGGGAUUGCAAGCUGAGGCAAACACUCUGGAAAUCAGUUUGGUGGUUCCUCAGAAAAGUGGACAUAAUAGUAUCUGAGGACUCAGCAAUACCACUCCUGGACAUAUACCCAGAAGAUACCUGUGAUGGUUUGUAUGUUCUUGGACCAGGGAAUGGCACCAUUUGGAGGUGUGGCCUUGUUGGAAUAGGUGGGACCUGGUUGGAGUAGGUGGGUCACUGUGGGUAUGGGUUUAAGACUCUCACCCCAGUUGCCUGGAAGUCAGUCUUCCACUAGCUGACUUUUGAUCAAGACAUAGAACUCUCAGCUCUGCCUGUGCCAUGACAGCAUGGAUGCUGCCAUGUUCCCACCUUGAUGAUAAUGGACUGAACCUCUGAACCUGUAAGCUAACCCCAAUUAAAUGUUAUGUUUUAUAAGACUUGCCUUGGUUAUGGUGUCUGUUCACAGCAGUGAAUCCCUAACUAAGACAAUGCUCCAACAUGUAAUAAGGACACAUGCUCCACUAUGUUCAUAACAGCCUUAUUUAUAAUAGCCAGAAGCUAGAAAAAACCCAAAAGUCCCUCAACAGAGGAAUGGAUACAGAAAAUGUGAUACAUUUACACAGCUAUUAAAAACAAUGAAUUUAUGAAAAUCUUAGGCAAAUGGUUGGAACUUAAAAUUAUCAUCCUGAGUGAGGUAACCCAAUCACAAAAGAACGCACAUGGUACGCACUCACUGAUAAGUGGAUAUUAGCCCAGAAAUUCGGGAUACCCAAGAUACAAUUUACAAACCACAUGAAACUCAAGAAGAAGGAAGACCAAAAUGUGGAUACUUUGAUCGUUCUUAGAAGGGGAACAAAAUACCCAUGGAAGGAUUUACAGAGACAAAGUUUUGAGCAGAGACUGAAGGAAUAACCAUCCAGAGAUGGCCCAAACUGGAGAUCCAUUACAUAUACAAUUACCAAACCCAGACACUAUUGUGGACGCCAAGUACUUGGUAAAAGAACAAUGAAAUGGCUGUCUCCUGAGAGGCUUUGCCAGUGCUUGACAAUUAUAGAAGUGGAUGCUCACAGCCAUCCAUUGGACUAAGCACAGGGUUCCCAAUGAAGAAGCUAGAAAAAGAACUCAAGAAACUGAAGGGGUUUGUAGCCUCAUAGGAAAAACAACAAUAUGAACUAACCAUUAAGUCCAGAGCUCCUUGGGACUAAACCACCAACAAAAGAAAGCACAUGUUGGGGCUCAUGGCUCUAGCCCCUUAUGUAGCAGAGGAUGCCCUAGUUGUUCACCAAUGGGAGGACAGGCCCUUGAUCCUGUGAAAGUUCUAUGUCCCAGUAUAGGGGAAUGCCAGGGCCAGGAAUCGUGAAUGGUGUAUUGGUAAGCACGGGGAGAGAUAGGUGAUAGGGGGUUUUCAGAAGGGAAACCAGAAAAGGGAUAACAUUUGAAA